CAGUAAGAAAGUUGAGAAGUUUCUGGAGUCAGGAGAACACGAGUCAUUAUCGUUACCACCGUGUACAGGAUUCCAGAGAAAACUAACUUACCAGUCCUUACAAACAAAAACCAGCAGUUUAACCUGGAAAGAUUAAACUCAGACCUAGAUGUUUAUUUACUGGGAGGUACCUAACCUCUUAGUUUCUGCCAUCAGGUCUGUCCCUGAGAGAACACAAGGAAGACAGCAACUUCUACUGCUUGAAGACAAAGUACAGCUUGCUCACGCCAUCUACAAAACUGGAAAUAAGGAAUGGAAAAGUAAGGUGGCAGAAUUGAUUGGCUGUGCAAUGAAUGAGGAGGAGACAGAAUGGCAACAUUUCUGCGACAAUGUCUGGAACUGAUUGCCAGAGUGGCUGAGAUACUUACUGCAGAAACCUUUCAGAUAUUGACUGAUAUAUAUGGUUGUAUAUGGUAGUGGAGUGAAGCUGUUUGAACUGACUUCUACAGAGCAGACUGUUCUACAAACUGAUCUGAUUGAAGUGCUUACUUUGUGAGAGCAUGCAGGCAGCUAAAGACAGAAGGUCAACAAAAUCAGGGUUUUUUUUAAAGCAAGAAGGAAACAGCAGAAAAUGUGAAAAUAGAAAGAAGAUCAAGGGAACAAAGGAACCUGAAUAGAAUAAACUUUUAAAGAUUUUAUGCUAAAACUAAAUUUAUAAGAACAGUAGUGAUGGAUUAAUCUCCCAUAUAUUUUAGCCUGCUGGUGGCAAAUUAUUUUGCCUUUGCUACCAAGAUCAGCUUGCACGUUCUUCCCAUACCAUGAAGCUUCAAUAUUUUUUCUACUAUUAUAGAUUAUGGGUGUAUUAGAAUCGAAAUAACUUAUAGCAAAAGCAUGUUUUAACACUAUUUAUACACUCUGGUGAUAAUACCUCAUACAAAUUAUGCUCGACGUAUAACCACCCAUCGUGUAUAUAUAGUGUUAAAACACUAUUUUGCUACAAAUAUUUCUUAGAUAAUGUUUCCCAUGAAGAGAAUAUAUUUUCUAUCUUGUUUUGUUGAAAAAUGAGACAUUGUAAAAUACAGAUUAAAGCAAGUCGCUGUUUUGUUACAUGCUUAUUUCAAGCCUGAAAGUUCUGUCCGAAAGCAUGCAAUACUGUUACUUAAAG